rnacentral:rRNA from 1 species
UGUUUUUAAAAGAAGAACAUUUUUGAGAGUAACUGUUCAGGUAUUGACGGUAUUUAACCAGAAAGCCAGGGCUAAUUACGUGCCAGCAGCCGCGGUAAUACGUAGGUGGCCAGCGUUGUCCGGAUUUAUUGGGCGUAAAGCGAGCGCCGGCGGUUUUUUAAGUCUGAUGUGAAAGCCUUCGGCUCAACCGAAGAAGUGCAUCGGAAACUGGGAAACUUGAGUGCAGAAGAGGACAGUGGAACUCCAUGUGUAGCGGUGAAAUGCGUAGAUAUAUGGAAGAACACCAGUGGCGAAGGCGGCUGUCUGGUCUGUAACUGACGCUGAGGCUCGAAAGUAUGGGUAGCAAACAGGAUUAGAUACCCUGGUAGUCCAUACCGUAAACGAUGAAUGCUAAGUGUUGGAGGGUUUCCGCCCUUCAGUGCUGCAGCUAACGCAUUAAGCAUUCCGCCUGGGGAGUACGGCCGCAAGGCUGAAACUCAAAGGAAUUGACGGGGGCCCGCACAAGCGGUGGAGCAUGUGGUUUAAUUCGAAGCUACGCGAAGAACCUUACCAGGUCUUGACAUACUAUGCAAAUCUAAGAGAUUAGACGUUCCCUUCGGGGACAUGGAUACAGGUGGUGCAUGGUUGUCGUCAGCUCGUGUCGUGAGAUGUUGGGUUAAGUCCCGCAACGAGCGCAACCCUUAUUAUCAGUUGCCAGCAUUAAGUUGGGCACUCUGGUGAGACUGCCGGUGACAAACCGGAGGAAGGUGGGGAUGACGUCAAAUCAUCAUGCCCCUUAUGACCUGGGCUACACACGUGCUACAAUGGAUGGUACAACGAGUUGCGAACUCGCGAGAGUAAGCUAAUCUCUUAAAGCCAUUCUCAGUUCGGAUUGUAGGCUGCAACUCGCCUACAUGAAGUCGGAAUCGCUAGUAAUCGCGGAUCAGCAUGCCGCGGUGAAUACGUUCCCGGGCCUUGUACACACCGCCCGUCACACCAUGAGAGUUUGUAACACCCAAAGUCGGUGGGGUAACCUUUAGGAACCAGCCGCCUAAGGUGACAGAAGUGGGA